rnacentral:lncRNA from 10 species
AGCAGGCGUGGGCCGCCCUGGUGCUGACGGUCUGGUUUGCCUCCCAGCUCUGCUAGCCGGGCUUUAGUAGUGCGCUUUCUCGCGGCUGUCAUAAGUACCACGCUGUUGACUGGGACACCGAUCUCCAAUUCUGUCCUUGAGGCAAUAAAGAUGUGGCGAAGGCCCGAGGUGAGGCCACUGCCACUGCACUUAGUCCUGCGACUCCCCUAAGGACGGGCCGAGGAAUGGCGGGCUAGCCACUUCCCAGUCCUGUCCCUACGGGGCAGAAAAAGGCUCGGCAUCCCGGGAUCCGGAGGGUCACUUCCCUCGCUGCAUCCCCAUUGUGCAACUGCCAGUCUAAAAAUUGAUAUAGGUUAAUCUCCUGGAGAAACUAGAGGCAGCCAGGGAGGAUGCUGUUGAACCAGUUAGGAGGCUGUUGCAAGAGAUCCCAGGAAAAGAUAAUGAUAAUGUGGACUUGGAAGAUGGCAGAGGAGUUGCAGAAAAGUAUCCAGAUUUUAAAGAGAGACUGGAAUUUGAAUCUGGGUGAUCCGGCUUCAGAGUCUGUGCAUUCUUUGGCCUCUCAAAGUUUGGAUCCAACACCCCUGGAAUUCUCUUAAGAAAAUACUAAGUGCUUAACUCCACCUGCAAAGCCAUCUCUAGAAGCAAGACUGAAGCAGCUGACUUUUCAACCCCAAAAUAAUACUUUUGAGUAUGUAUUAAUUGCAAAGGUUUAAAUAACAAGUUCAACAAAAAUUUAUCAGCCACCCACUAAGUGACAGAUGUCUCUACCCUUGAGAGGCUCUUAAGAGGCCUUCAUCUAAAGUAGCCCUUCUCAACCUGGGAUUUCAAGAGACAAUUAAUCCCUAAUGCCUUUAGGCACCCAUUGUAUAUAAUGUAUUAACUUCUUUCAUAUACAUCUAGAAUGGCACUGGUUCUACACCGUCCUGAAAAUAAUUUUUUUAUCUCCUGUGGUUCAUAUGGGGAAAUCCAUAUGCAAAGUAUUUCAAAACAUGACAAAUGUUGUAAUAGAAAUGAACAAGGAAUAAUGGGAGCAGAGUGAGCAUAGCUUAAAAGUAAUGGCUGUGAAGUCAGACUUGAGAUUGAGUAUAAGCCCAGCCACUUAUAGGGCUCAUAAAAUUGUUGUAAGGAUUAAAAUAGCAUAUGUAAGUUAUUUAGUAUAAUCCUGGUACAUAGUAGGUUUCAUAGUGGUAGGAAUAUUUAUUAAAUCUGUUUGUUAAGUCAUUAGAAUGCAAACUCGUUACUAUCUUGGUCCUCUAUAGCCCCAACAUCUAAAACCGUACCUUGCACAAAAACAAGUACUCAAUAAAUACUUUUUGAUGUAAUAAGGGAUGUCUACUAGGGAAGAUUUCGUAAUGUAGCAUGUAGGCUGAAGAAAAUGAUUGGGAUUUGCCAGUGAAUUACAGGAGGAGGCUAUUCCAGGCCAUGGAAGGCUGUGAGACAAUGAUAAAAAGAACAAGAGUUCACAAAAGAUUCCAAAAACUAAAUACCUACUUCAGCAUGACUGUGAACAUUAGCUGAAGUGGAUAAUGGCAGGAGAUAAGAAAAGUAGGCAGAGGCUAGAUCAUAAAGGGCCCUAUAUGACAUGCUAAAGAAGAGCUAGAAUUAUAUUCUGUAAGGCCUAGGUUUUGCUCAGCAGAGGUAUGGAAGGAAGAGUGUAGGAAGAGAAGAAAGAAAAGGAUUGAGUCUUAUGUCUAUAAUACCAAAAUCUUAACAAAGUGCAAAUCAAGAAAUGAGACAACAGGAUGUAGAAGUUUAAGCAUAUUAUUUCAGUGUGCAAAGGUAACCAGUACAGGAAAAAAUAUAUGUAACUAGAGCUAAGUGAUUGUCUGUCUUUGUAGGAAGUAAAUAGAUAUCUAUAAUUGAUACAUGAAGAAAUAAUAUUAGGAGGAGCAUAUCAUUUAAAGAUAUAGUAUUUAUAGUAUUUGGUAUAGUAAUUGCCAAAAAUACUAAAAACAAAUUAUAAGAAUAGUUGCCCCUGGAAAGCAGGCCUGGAGAUGUGAAAGGGUGAGUUUUUUUAUUAUAAGAUCUUUUUGAAUUUGUAAUAAACAUUUUUUAAAAUUUAAUGUGUCCUAGCUGGGCUUGGUGGCUCAUGCCUGUAAUCCCGGUGUUUUGGGAGGCUGAGGUGGUACGAUUGCUUGAGCCCAGGAGUUCAAGACCAGCCUGGAAAACAUGGUGAAGCCACGUCUCUACCAAAAAUACAAAAGUUAGCCAGGUGUAGUGGUGUGCACCUGUAGUCCCAGCUCCUUGGGAGGGUGAGGUGGGAGGAUGGUUUGAGCCUGGGAGGCGAAGGUUGCAGUGAGCCAAGAUCAUGCCAUUGCACUCCACCCUGGGCAACAUAGCCAGAGCCUGUCUCAAAAAAAAAACAAAAAACAAGAAAAUUUAAUGUGUCAGAAAAAAAAGCAUUUCUUUGUUAAUCAUUUACUGUGUAUUAGGCUAUGAGAUCCCAUUACCUCCUUAGUGAAGGAAUCUGACAUAUUUUUCUUGUUUGUAGUUUGCAUGUACAAAGUUUUUCCAAAUGUAAGCUGUCGUGGUGAUUUUUCUUCAGAGUCAACUUGACUAGCUUUAGCCUCAGGAAAAAGGCAGUUGGAAAAAAAAAAAAAAGGUUAGCUGUAAAACAGCCUUAAACAGGUCCUUUAGGAGUUAUUCCAGAAGAAGGCAUUGUUAUCAUAGAAGAAGAUAGUUUCAAGUGUGUUAUUACCCCUGAAAACAUUCCAGUAGAACAAAAUGUGAAUGUGGAAGAUGGUGAUAUUGAUGAUCCUAACCCUGUGUAGGCCUAGGCCAAUGUGUGUACAUCUUAGUUUUUAACAAAAAAG